UACAGAGGGGGCAAGCGUUGUUCGGAAUUACUGGGCGUAAAGGGCGCGUAGGCGGCCUGUUAAGUCGAACGUGAAAUCCCCGGGCUCAACCCGGGAACUGCGUCCGAUACUGGCAGGCUUGAAUUCGGGAGAGGGAUGCGGAAUUCCAGGUGUAGCGGUGAAAUGCGUAGAUAUCUGGAGGAACACCGGUGGCGAAGGCGGCAUCCUGGACCGACACUGACACUGAGGAGCGAAAGCCAGGGGAGCAAACGGG
rnacentral:rRNA from 1 species